GACGAACGCUGGCGGCGUGGAUUAGGCAUGCAAGUCGAACGGUGUCAUCCUUUCGGGGGUGAGAGAGUGGCGAACUGGUGAGUAACACGUAGGUUAUCUACCCUCAAGACGGGGACAACCCAGGGAAACUUGGGCUAAUACCGGAUGUGAGCAACUUUUAGUUGUUUGAAAGGUGGCGUAAGCUGUCGCUUGGGGAUGAGCCUGCGUCCUAUUAGUUAGUUGGUGAGGUAACGGCUCACCUAGGCAAUGAUAGGUAGGCGGCCUUAACGGGUGGUCGCCCACACUGGGAUUGAGAUACGGCCCAGACUCCUACGGGAGGCAGCAGUCGAGAAUAGUCUACAAUGGUCGGAAGACUGAUAGUGCGACGCCGCGUGAACGAUGAAUCCCUUCGGGGUGUAAAGUUUCUUUUAUAUGUGAGCAGUGCUUCUUAUAUUAACAGUAUGGGGAGAGAGAUAUUAGCAUAUGAAAUAAGCAACGGCUAACUCCGUGCCAGCAGCCGCGGUAAUA
rnacentral:rRNA from 1 species